rnacentral:rRNA from 1 species
AAACCAGCACCUCAAGUGGUCAGGAGGAUUAUUGGGCCUAAAGCAUCCGUAGCCUGCUCUGUAAGUUUUCGGUUAAAUCUGUACGCUUAACGUACAGGCUGCCGGAAAUACUGCAGAGCUAGGGAGUGGGAGAGGUAGACGGUACUCGGGAGGAAGUGGUAAAAUGCUUUGAUCUCUCGAUGACCACCUGUGGCGAAGGCGGUCUACCAGAACACGUCCGACGGUGAGGGAUGAAAGCUGGGGGAGCAAACCGGAUUAGAAACCCCGGUAGUCC